rnacentral:rRNA from 1 species
GCAGGGUGAGUCGACCCCUAAGGCGAGGCCGAAAGGCGUAGUCGAUGGGAAACAGGUUAAUAUUCCUGUACUUGGUGUUACUGCGAAGGGGGGACGGAGAAGGCUAUGUUGGCCGGGCGACGGUUGUCCCGGUUUAAGCGUGUAGGCUGGUUUUCCAGGCAAAUCCGGAAAAUCAAGGCUGAGGCGUGAUGACGAGGCACUACGGUGCUGAAGCAACAAAUGCCCUGCUUCCAGGAAAAGCCUCUAAGCAUCAGGUAACAUCAAAUCGUACCCCAAACCGACACAGGUGGUCAGGUAGAGAAUACCAAGGCGCUUGAGAGAACUCGGGUGAAGGAACUAGGCAAAAUGGUGCCGUAACUUCGGGAGAAGGCACGCUGAUAUGUAGGUGAAGCGACUUGCUCGUGGAGCUGAAAUCAGUCGAAGAUACCAGCUGGCUGCAACUGUUUAUUAAAAACACAGCACUGUGCAAACACGAAAGUGGACGUAUACGGUGUGACGCCUGCCCGGUGCCGGAAGGUUAAUUGAUGGGGUUAGCGGUAACGCGAAGCUCUUGAUCGAAGCCCCGGUAAACGGCGGCCGUAACUAUAACGGUCCUAAGGUAGCGAAAUUCCUUGUCGGGUAAGUUCCGACCUGCACGAAUGGCGUAAUGAUGGCCAGGCUGUCUCCACCCGAGACUCAGUGAAAUUGAACUCGCUGUGAAGAUGCAGUGUACCCGCGGCAAGACGGAAAGACCCCGUGAACCUUUACUAUAGCUUGACACUGAACAUUGAGCCUUGAUGUGUAGGAUAGGUGGGAGGCUUUGAAGUGUGGACGCCAGUCUGCAUGGAGCCGACCUUGAAAUACCACCCUUUAAUGUUUGAUGUUCUAACGUUGGCCCCUGAUCGGGGUUGCGGACAGUGUCUGGUGGGUAGUUUGACUGGGGCGGUCUCCUCCUAAAGAGUAACGGAGGAGCACGAAGGUUGGCUAAUCCUGGUCGGACAUCAGGAGGUUAGUGCAAUGGCAUAAGCCAGCUUGACUGCGAGCGUGACGGCGCGAGCAGGUGCGAAAGCAGGUCAUAGUGAUCCGGUGGUUCUGAAUGGAAGGGCCAUCGCUCAACGGAUAAAAGGUACUCCGGGGAUAACAGGCUGAUACCGCCCAAGAGUUCAUAUCGACGGCGGUGUUUGGCACCUCGAUGUCGGCUCAUCACAUCCUGGGGCUGAAGUAGGUCCCAAGGGUAUGGCUGUUCGCCAUUUAAAGUGGUACGCGAGCUGGGUUUAGAACGUCGUGAGACAGUUCGGUCCCUAUCUGCCGUGGGCGCUGGAGAACUGAGGGGGGCUGCUCCUAGUACGAGAGGACCGGAGUGGACGCAUCACUGGUGUUCGGGUUGUCAUGCCAAUGGCACUGCCCGGUAGCUAAAUGCGGAAGAGAUAAGUGCUGAAAGCAUCUAAGCACGAAACUUGC